AUUUUUUCCCAUAAAUUUUCAUUACGCAGACAGUUGACACCAUCGAGGUGCAGAUGUUUACUUUCUACACAAGUAGUUUUUUUCCCAGUUUCGUCCGACGAACAGAUUGUAGUGGUAAAAUAAAAAGGAAGAGCAAGCUGACCAAGAGGUCGAAAAUGUAGAUAUUGUCAGAUGUUUACUGUCCGAGGAACAGGCCGUGAAAGCUUUAUUUCUGGCAAAAGUGUCCAUAACCAGAGAUUUACAUCACAAACACAGCCAUUUUCACUGGACUAUCUGUUGCUGCCAAGUCAUGAUUUCCCUGGGGGUUAACCUUGAAAUAACUAAGUGCUUAAAGUACUCUGUAGCCACUUAGUGUGGACACCAGGUGAGGCCACACACACACACACACACACACACACACACAAGAACAGUCUCUCUUCUUCACUUCAUCCCUCUCCCCCUUCUCCCAAAAUCCUCGAGGUUACAUCAGCUCUUUCGGUGAACCCCUUGCGCACCUGAACUGGCUGACAGAGGGCACAGCAUGAUCAUAGGUGAGAUGUCACUUGGUCGGGUCAACAGGAGUAUUAUUAAAGAGAUGCUUUACAUUGAAAUACAGACAGAGAUCUAGUAUUCCCGGAGUUAAUGAUCGAAGGUCAGUUUUGCAUUUCACCUCCAGAUUUAAGAAUAAAAAAGCCCAGGCUUAAUCAUGCUCUCUCGUCUGCAGGUAUGUUUUGAUGUGAGAGAGGAAGCCAGUCCCGUCAUCGCCACCUCUCCCGCUCUUAAGAUAACCUUCGGCCAACUGGGGGCCCAAGGCUGGUUAGGAGACACAGCAAUUGUGAUGAACUGAGAGAAUAUUAGGGUAGCACUGUAAUUCAUGAAUCAUAUGCUGUCUGCUCUGUUCUUGCCUCUUUCCCUUUGUCUUCUAUACCUCUCUCCCCACCUCGUCUUUCUUCCUCGUUUUAUAAUGCACACCAUAUGUGCAUUGAAGUACAGAUUGAACUUGUAUUUAUAAUAUUACAAUUAUCAUAAUUAUAUUGCAUUUAUAACACCUGAAUAAUGAACUUUUUUCAAUAAAGCAUUUCACAUUCUCCACUGGUUGAAAUUAAGUAUCUCAUUGAAAUACUAU